UAUUGGUUAUGUGUGAUAGCACUUAGUCAAAAUUCAUUAAUCUUCACACAUAGAACGAAUACAAAGCUGGCAAUUGAAGAUCAUAGCUUAAAAAAAUGGCGUCCGAGGCAAUCUGCGAAAAUUUUGCUACAGAAGUUAGCUCACUUCGGAUUGUUUUCAAGCAGUUUUAUUAUUCUUUGAAGGGUAACGAUCUCGGUAACGAUACAAUAUUGCGGCAUCCUGAUUCGAUAAUAAUCUUCCUCUUGCUCUUCCGGAGGCAGUGACGAAAUCUUUCGACAGGAACAGGCAAUAUGGCGUGGCGUAAUCCAACGAACAUAUUAUGACAUCGAAAAAAAAAUCGAAAAUGUAUUUUCCCAAUGCGGAUAUCGGAACCCAAUGCAAAGACGCGAUUCCUGAAGCCUCCAGCAAGUAUCAUUUAAAAAGUGUGCAAUUGAGCUUGGCAACUCCAGCUAAAGUAUGUGCUGCACACUGAAGGUUUCCAGUCCGGGAACUGUUAUUGGAUCGGAGGAGCAGCAGUACUUGCAGUCGAAGACUUGGAGUCCACUGUCUUGGGGAGCGACGAGGUAACAACAGAAGAUCGAUCGGAACAUCCAUCUGUACUCAUCUAUAAUUCAACUAUACCAUGUUAAUGCAUAUAUAGAAGAUUAUUAUUUAUAAUAUAAAUGGUUUUUCUUAUUUCUAUACAUA